AAAAUAUUGAAGAGGUCUAUAACCACCAUCACUGAAAGCCCAAGUUCUUGCAAUGGUGAGGCCAUGAUUUGAAGCUUCUUGAAAAACACUUGAAACUUUGUGCCUCUCAGAUGGGUCGGAUCCUUCGUACAUUAACCAGCACAUCAUACAUGAGCUUCUUUGCUUUUUAGUGUGACAACCACAACAAAUUGUGACUUAUAACGUGUGAGUUAUGAUAAGGUUUGGGGAGCUAGGUGCAAGAUAUUAAUGGAGAAUGAGAGAGGCUCCUCGGUCGAAACGCUAGCCUAUGCUCGGAAGAUUUGCAAAGAAGCCCAAGAAGCGUGUCAAGCUCGACCGAAUCAAGGUGUUGUUGUUGCUCCCCAUCUUGGCGAGUGGUCGAAGCCCAAAUCGAGUUAUAUAAAAGUUAAUGUUGAUGCCGGUUUAAUUGGGGAAUUGGGGUGUGGUUUAGGGAUGAAAAUGGUGAAGUGCUAGCUGCUGGAACUUUUCAAUUUCAUGUUGCUUGGGAGCCUCGUACGGCGAAGGCUAUAUUCCAUGGCGUGAAGCUAGCAAAGGAGAUGGUAUAGUCACAUUUAGGUGGAGAGUGAUAAUCUAUUGGCUAUUCAAGCUUUAAGAAGUGGUAGAGGGGGAUCUAGUGAGUUUAAUUUAAUUUUAUAUGAUGUUUUAGAUUUAGCUCUUUCUUUUGACAAUGUUGUUUGGUAUUUUGUGAAACGAUUUGGAAAUAAGGGGAUCAUAUGUUGACUCAUCUACAACCUUGGAAGAUUGGCAAACGUACUUGAGUUAGAUUACGGUUGAUGCUAUUUCUCUUGCUUUAAAUAAUACUAGCAAUUU